GUCUACGGCCAUACCACCCUGAACGCGCCCGAUCUCGUCUGAUCUCGGAAGCUAAGCAGGGUCGGGCCUGGUUAGUACUUGGAUGGGAGAAAUGACAAGAUUUCAUUCUUU
rnacentral:rRNA from 1 species